rnacentral:lncRNA from 1 species
GAGGAACUUGUACCGGUCCCUCAUCAGAAAGAAUUUCUCCUCUCACUCACCAGAAAGAAAAUAAGAAGAAAAAAAUGAGGAAGUGUAAAUGAUCCUUUCUUUGUGUCUGGCUUAUCGGCUGAAGGAGAACAGUUGGGUCUGGCACCUGAGGAUGACAAGGGCCCCGGGUGUGCUGUCCUGGGGACUUGAUGAUGACAUUUGGCUUCUUGGGUCAUCAGAAGCAAGGGACGUCCCAGCUCUUCCUGGGGGAGCAGCGGGACAUCAGGAGCUCCUCCCUAGCAGCAGGACUGUGAGUACCCACCUUCUUGUUAAGCCUGGUGAAUUUUGCUCCCCUUACAAAGAGUGAAGGUUAUGGAACUUAGAAAAUUUUGCAGCAACAGGAAGCCAGAAGCCCCACACAGCGGGAUGAACUACCAGCUCCAGAAGGACUGGCCUGUAAAAUGAUAAGGGAGUGGAACUGUGUAACUUAGCCAACGGGUGGUAGCAGGUGGCUGUGGCCUCUUCUGUGGGACUGGCUACCUGGAUGAACAUUCUCUACUCUUGUCAUGAUAUCUUUGUCCAAGAAUUCUUGGUUCCUUCCACCACACUGCAUGAAAAAGCCAAAUGACUGUAAGAUUUCUCAGUUAUAGCUCUCAACUGAGCCUUAAUUAUUCAUACGUGCUGGAUUAAUUAUUCAAGACCAUGAAUUGGCACGUGCAGGGGGGCGGUUACUAGUAAACAGGAGGCUGUGUGAACGGCGUUUGGCGGGAGAGACAAGGCCCGCUGUCUCCUGGGUGAUUCAAUCCGUGGAUGGGCAGAGGCGUUCGUGCAGGGGUGACUUACACGGACUUCGGCGCGGCUCUCUGCUGGUGUGAGGAGUGGCCUUGCCGAUCCUUUCCGGACAGGGAGGAGAGCCGUGGUGAGACUCCGUCCUCAGCGCGUGGCUCCUGGGGCCAGAUUGUAUGUGAUCUCAAAUGGGUGGUAGCUCUGCCGAGAUUUCUUACGUUUGCAUUCUUGAUCGUUUGCUGUGAAAUGUGCUCGUGAGCAGUCAUGAAACAGAUCUUUGGCACAAAUUCUUGUUCCAGUGUAGAGUGCGUGACGUUGAAAGCUGGCAGAACUGAGGACAAGGAACUCAAUCCCAAAACGAAUGUGGACUCCUUCCGCUGACGGGGUGGCCGGGGUCUUCUGCGAUAUCCCGGCGGGAUGGGUGGCCGGAGCAGCCUCUCCCCUGCCCGGCUUCACCUCCUCACCCGGCAGAGCCCUUGAGCCCCUGUCAGUGGAGGCUGCUCGUUCCCCUACAGCGUGUACCCAGGUUUGCAGUUAGCUCCAGCAGACGCUACACUCCCGCCCCCGCUGCGAGGAGGCUGGCUCCCCUCCCCCUCCACGGUCAUGCCUGUCCUCCAGGGCCGUCCAUCUUCCUCCGCAUCCCUCUCCUCUCCUCCCUGGCGUGGAUGUUAACCAUGUAGCCUUAGCUCCUGGAUCUUUCCCUCGGUAACAUUUUCUUCUGUGCCCCCUCAGCCACCCAUUCCCAUGGCCACACUCUAGACUUUAAUGAUCUGAAACUGUACCAGCUCCAAAAUAAUAAAACCAAACGCCAACAUCUGGCCGCAACCUCCUAUUCUUUCUAGCUCACUGGCUUAUUGAUUCUCACUGUUAAAAAAAAAUUAUUGUCGUAAAAUAUAUACAACAGAAAAUUUACCAUUUAAACCAUUUUUGAACCAUUUUAAAGAGAUCUAAGGCACUAUAUAGUUAAUAUAGACAAUAACAUUGUACUAUAAUUAUGUAAUGUGAUAAAUCUCGCUACAUUGGUAAUCAUAUUACAAUAUAUAAUGCAUAAACGUAUCAAAAUAACACGCCUUAAACUUACACAACGUUACAUAUCAAAUCCAUUCAAUAAAAAAUUUAGGGGCCGGCCCCCUGGUGGAGCAGUUUGAGUGCUCCGCUUUGGCUGCCCAGCGUUUCGCUGGUUCGAAUCCCAGGGCGGCCAUGGCACCCCCCAUCAGGCUAAGGUGAGGCAGCGUCCCACAUAGCACAGUCAGAGGCGCUCAUAACUAGAAUAUACAACUAUGUACUGGGGGGCUUUGGGGAGAAGAAGAAGAAAGAAUGUGUUAAAUAAACCAUUGUUAGGUGUCAAGUUCAGCAGCAUUCAGUAUAAUCACACUACUGUGCAACCAUCACAACCAACCACGUCCAGAACUCUUCAUCUUGCAAACUGAUGCUCUGUCUCCAGUAAACACUAACUCCCGGUUGCCCCUGCGCCCCAAGCCUUGGAAACCCCCAUCCUGCUUUCUGUCUCUAUGAAUUUGAUUACUCUAGGGACCUCAUAUAAGUGGAAUCAUACAGUGUUUGUCCUUUUAACGUCUGGCUUAUUUCACUUAGCAAAAUGUCUUCAAGGUUCAUCCAAGUUGCAGCAUGUGUCAGAACUCCCUUCCUUUUUCAGGCUGAAGAAUAUUCCAUUAUAUGCAUGUGCCCCCAUUUUGUUUGUCCAUUCAUCAGUUGAUGGACACGGGUUGCUUCUACUUCUUGGCUAUUGUGAGUAAUGCUCCUAUGAACAUGAGUGUACAUGUACCUGUCUGAAUCUCUGCUUUCAGUUAUUUUGGGUACAUACCUGGGAGUGGAAUUGCUAGGUCAUAUGGUAAUUCUAUGUUUAACUUUUUGAGGAAGAAAAUUUUCUGUUUAACUUUUUCCUGCUUUUACACAGCCAUUUUGCAUUCUCACCAAUAAUGCACAAGGGUUCCAAUCUGUCCACAUCCUCACCAACACUUGUUAUUUUCCCUUUAUUUUUUCUGGUUUUAAUAAUAGCCACCCUAAUGGUUUUGAUUUGCGUUUCCCUAAUGGCUAGUGAGGUUGAGCAUCUUUUCAUGUGCUUACUGGCCAUUGCUUGUAUAUCUUCUUUGGCUAUUUUUUAAUUGGGUUUCUUUUUGUUGUUGUUGGAUUGUAGGGUUUUUAAAAAUAUAUUCUGGAUAUUAAUCCCUUAUCAGAUAUAUGAUUUUCAAUAUUUUCUCCCAUUCUGUGGGUUCCUUUUCACUUUGUUGACAGUAUCCUUGGAUGUACCAAAAUUUUUCAUUUUGAUCAAGUCCUAGUUAUCUACUUUUAUUUUGUUGCCUGUGCUUUUGGUGUCAUAUCCAAGAAAUCAUUGCUAAAUCCAAUGUCACGAAGCUUUUCCCCUGUGUUUUCUUCUGAGUUUUAUAGUUUAGCUCUUAUGUUUAGGUCUUUAAUCCAUGUUGAGUUGAUUUUUGUAGACGGUGUAAGGUAAGGGUUCAAUUUCAUUCUUUUGCAUGAAUACUCAGUUUUCUCAGCACCAUUUGUUGAAAAAAAUUGUCCUUUCCCCACUGAAUGGUCUUGGCACCCGUGUCAAGAAUCAUUUGACUAUCUGUGUGAGGGUCUGUCUCUGGGCUCUCUAUUCCAUGAAUCUGUGUAUCAGUGUUUAUGUGUUAAUUACUAUAGCUUUGUAAGCCUUAAAAUCAAGAAGUGUGAAACCUUCAACUUUGGUCUUUUUCAAGGUUGUCUUUGCUAUUCGGAGUCCCUUGAGAUUCCGUUUAAAUUUUAAGAUGGGAUUUUCUAUUUGUGCAGUUUUUUGACUUACAGAGUUCUUCCAAUCCAUCAACCCUCUUAUUCAAGUUCUUUUCCACGGUCCAUCAUUAUCACUGCCUUCCUGCAAACAUUCUCAACUCCCUUGCCCCUCUGUCUCUCUGUCACUCAAGCUUGGGUACCCCACUGUCUGCCUUCUCCCUGCCUGCACUAAUGCCCUACUGCGGUAGUAUCUCCACCCUGCCGCCGAGACUCUCCUCUGACAACGACAGCUGAUCCACAUUGAUUGCUGGCUUGGAGCCCGGCACAGUUGUAAGCACUUUAUAUGAACCACUCAUUUAAUCCUCUUAUUUCAGUAGAAUAUUUCUGGAGAAAACAGGACAGACUGUAUCACUACACAUUCAUAAUCAUUAACACAAUCAAAUACUCAGCCCUGCCCUACAAUCCUACUAUUUCUUCCAGUAAGCUGGCUUUUCCACUCUCCAAAAUGAUUAUUUCUCACCUGAGCGUUCUCCCAAGCUUCACCUCUCCACACCCCUCUCAGCAGGUGGCCUUGCUUCACAGUCCACCAGAAACACAGAAGUGGUCAGAUGGCAGCUCUGUCUACUGAGUCCACAGAUCUGUUGCCUCCACCCUUGUCUUGUCAUUCAUUCUUUUGGAGCUGGAGUCCUUGAUCCCAUCCCUUCUCAGUCUCUCAACAAUUUUAUUCCCUUUGCUGUUUCCUCUCUCACCCUCUUCAACCUCUCUAUCUAUUGCGUACAAAUGCGGUGGAGUGUUUACCACCACCACAAAAAAAAAGAGAAACAAACACCUCCCUUGAUUUCACAUCUUCCUCUGGCUUAACAUGUCCAAAGCAGCUUCUCUUUGUCUUUCCUUCUCCAAACCUCAUUUUCCCAGUGAUCGCCAUCUUGGUGAAUGGCACCUUCAACUACCCAUGUGCUCCAUCUGGAAACUUGGGAACCCAUCUUGACACUCGCCCCCCUCUACCUCCCCGACAUUCAUGCCAUGGCGAAAUCCUGAAGAUUCUACCUUCACAUUAUAUCUUGCAUCCAUCCACUUCCCUCCAUCCUCGCUGCCACCUGCCAGUCCAAGCCACUACCAUCUCUUUCCUGCACUCUUUUCGUCACGAUGUGGGGAAAGGAGAAACUGGAGGAGCAGGAAGGCCCUCAUCUGAAGGGCUGUUAACCCUGGGGCUGCAGGGCCUGCUCGAUAUUCGUCAAGACACCCACCUCCUCCUGCCCCCACACGCGGGAUUGUUAGUUUGCUAUUUCUCCAGGGAUGGUAACGCCUGGAAUAGCUGGAGAAAAUGUGUCUGAAUAAAUGAUUCCCAC